rnacentral:rRNA from 1 species
UACGUAGGGCGCAAGCGUUAUCCGGAAUUAUUGGGCGUAAAGAGCUCGUAGGCGGUUUGUCGCGUCUGCCGUGAAAGUCCGGGGCUCAACUCCGGAUCUGCGGUGGGUACGGGCAGACUAGAGUGAUGUAGGGGAGACUGGAAUUCCUGGUGUAACGGUGAAAUGCGUAGAGAUCGUAAGGAAGACCGGUGGCGAAGGCGGUUCACUGGGCAUUACCUGGACGCUGAGGAGCGAAAGUGUGGGGAGCGAACAGG